rnacentral:lncRNA from 1 species
ACAUCAAUUAAUUUCACAUUUCACCAAGCUUAGUUCAUGUUUGAUACCUGCUUUUUUUUCCAGAAAAAGUGAGAUGAAAUAGGAAAAAGAAAAGAAGGCUUAUAACUGAGUUUAGAUAUUUGAAGAGGAUUCAUUCCACUAUCAUAACAAGAUCACUGGAUGAAUUUUGGGCAACACUAAUAAGAUAAGAUUCUGGCUUCUUUAGUCGUGGUACGAGGAUGAAAAAGAGUAAAAUAUAAACUCAUAAUAUCAGAGCUUUGAAGAAAAGGAAGAAAAGUCACUGCAGACAAACCUAGAGAGUCCAUACCAAUUAAUAACUCCACAGGCUUCCUCUUUUCAAUAAAGAACCCAAGCAAGCUCCGUAGAAAACAGGGAACCUAUCUUCAGAUGCUUUGGGCUUCUUCAUAACGCGAGAAGGAGAUUGAGGGGAAAAAAAUCUCCUUUAAAGAUCUUAGGCCAUGUGGUAUGAUUCAUUACAAGAACUUGUUAUUCGACACUGUAGAAAACAAGGUAGAAUAAU